ACUGCCAAAGAUGACAAACUGAGAAGUACACAGCCAAUAACUACUUAAAAUGUAAACUGUGUCAUUAAAAUGUAAAAGUAUAAUAGAAAUUCCAGCUAUGUGUGAGUGAAGAGUGACUGAGGUGGCCACCAAUGAAUGACUGAAGAGAGAUUGUGUGAGAGAGAGAGACUGUGUAGAUAUAUAUGUGUGACAAUAUAUGUAGACUUAAAAAUAUUCAG